rfam:Wickerhamomyces ciferrii, NRRL Y-1031 F-60-10, WGS project CAIF01000000 data, contig: 00331
UCCUUGUUAGCUCAGUUGGUAGAGCGUUCGGCUUUUACAGUCAAACUAGGGAAAACCCAUUUCUUUAGCGGAAGUUAACCGAAAUGUCGGGGGUUCGAGCCCCCCAUGAGGAG